UUUUAUCUAGAUGAUGCAUUU
rnacentral:sRNA from 1 species